CAUGAGCCAAAGAGGCCACCUGGUGUCUGAUGUUCAACUGGCUCAGGGGUGCUACAUUAGCUUUCACCUCAAACAGCAAUAUGCCUGGAGCCAGCCCUGACCAUGACAGACGGUGUAUACAGUGUUCCACACAUCUUUUCAGUAGCUCUCCAACGGCAAAGGACUGACGUUCUUGACAAGCAAGCAAGACUACCCUUGAAUGACACCACAACUACAGAAUCUACCUUGCUCCAUUUGACACUUCGGCUCUUAGAAGAUGCUGUGGGAAUAUAAGAAGAAGAUCUCAUGGGAGUUGUCAAAACUGAGAGAUGAGACCAUGCCUGAAGAGGACUUCCUUUAGAGCAGUGAGGAGUUAUCCAGUGACAAUAAAACUAUAUGCAAAGAU